CUUGGGUGACAUGGUUUAGUGUGAGGUGUCCCUGCCCAUGGCAGGGGGGUUGGAACUUGAUGAUUUUAAGGUCCUUUCCAAUCCUAACUAUUCUAUGAUUCUAUGAUAAAACUGCUUCCCAUAUAGUAAAUUCUGACAUAGAGAAGAGCUGCAGGACAGUAACAAAGGAGCAUGGUGAACAGUAUGUCACGCAUGCAGCACUGCAAUACGCCAAAAUCUCCCAGCCCUGGUCUGUUAAGUAGUGAAAAUAUCAAGUCUCAUUUCUGCCCUGCUAUGAAAUCUAGGGCAAGAGGCUUUGAAGGUAAGCGCUGAUACUGCAGCCAGUUGCUUUUUUACAACAGAAAAUGUAAAAACAAAAAUAAGAAUGCUGAUUUACAAAUUCCAGUAGAGGAGUAAAGUUCAGCUGCUGCAUAUUCAUAUCCCAUCUCUGAGUAAGCCUUCUUCCAUUGACACAAACCUUUCCUGCAUACCAAAUGUUAAUGCAUAUUUAUAUAUUUAUAAAGCAUACCCAAUAUUUCAUCAUUCAUGAUUAUUUACUAUAUACAGGUAUGUAGUCAAAAUUCAGGUGGCAUCUAAUUUCCCAUACUGUAAAUUUGUCUCCAGACCAUAUUAUUAUACUCUGUGCUCCUGCAGAAUCAUAAGGUAUUUCACCACUGAGGAUUUUAUCUUCAAUUAUUCCUCAGCCUCCAUACUGCAGUUCUUAGAGCAUUAUGCAAUACACAGACAAAUUUAUCUCCAGGUACACAUUAUCUAAACUGAUAUGCCUGUAAGCAUAAAUAGCCUAUCAUAAUGCUAAUUCUGGUAUUAGGAUAUAGACAGGAAACACAGUUCAAAAGAUACAAAGAGGGUUGUGUUGUUCUUCAGUUUUGUUUUAAACUAGAAAACAUUCCUGGUUCUUUGAGUCUUUGUGAAGAACUUGGAAGGUGAGUUACUGGCCUUUAGACAAGACAAUGUCAAUAACACACUUAGCAGAAAUUAUGAAAUAUCUCCCAAAUUAGUCUUUCUAUGAAAACAGCCAUUUAUUGAGUGAAACAAUAUACUGUUUGCUACCAUGGCUUUUUAUUUUCUUUUUUUUUCUUUUUUUUUUCUCCUUUACCUUUUCCAGCACUAAAUAUACAAACAUGAGUGCACAAAGUGUCACAUUUUUAUACUUUAUUUAAAGAAAUUAAGAGGAAUAAAAAUAACUGAGAAUGGUAAAA